rnacentral:rRNA from 1 species
UACGUAGGGGGCAAGCGUUGUCCGGAUUUAUUGGGCGUAAAGAGCGUGUAGGCGGUCAGGUAGGUCGGUUGUGAAAACUGGAGGCUCAACCUUCAGAGGUCGACCGAAACCCCCUGGCUAGAGUCCGGGAGAGGAGAGUGGAAUUCCUGGUGUAGCGGUGAAAUGCGCAGAUAUCAGGAAGAACACCCGUGGCGAAGGCGGCUUCCUGGACCGACACUGACGCUGAGGCGCGAAAGCUAGGGGAGCAAACGGG